UACGAAGGGGGCUAGCGUUGUUCGGAAUUACUGGGCGUAAAGCGCACGUAGGCGGAUAUUUAAGUCAGGGGUGAAAUCCCAGAGCUCAACUCUGGAACUGCCUUUGAUACUGAGAGUCUUCGAGUCCGGGAGAGGUGAGUGGAACUGCGAGUGUAGAGGUGAAAUUCGUAGAUAUUCGCAAGAACACCUGUGGCGAAGGCGGCUCACUGGCCCGGUACUGACGCUGAGGUGCGAAAGCGUGGGGAGCAAACAGG
rnacentral:rRNA from 1 species